rnacentral:rRNA from 1 species
UACAGAGGUCCCAAGCGUUGUUCGGAUUCACUGGGCGUAAAGGGUGCGUAGGUGGUGAGGUAAGUUUGAUGUGAAAUCUCCGGGCUCAACCCGGAAAUGGCAUUGAAUACUAUCUUGCUAGAGGAGUGGAGGGGGGACUGGAAUACUUGGUGUAGCAGUGAAAUGCGUAGAUAUCAAGUGGAACACCAGUGGCGAAGGCGAGUCCCUGGACAAUUCCAGACACUGAGGCACGAAAGCUAGGGGAGCAAACAGG